GACAGAGGGUGCAAACGUUGUUCGGAAUUACUGGGCGUAAAGCGCACGUAGGCGGGUCGUUAAGUCAGGGGUGAAAUCCCGGAGCUCAACUCCGGAACUGCCUUUGAUACUGGCGAUCUUGAGAUCGGAAGAGGUGAGUGGAAUUCCCAGUGUAGAGGUGAAAUUCGUAGAUAUUGGGAAGAACACCAGUGGCGAAGGCGGCUCACUGGUCCGAUACUGACGCUGAGGUGCGAAAGCGUGGGGAGCAAACAGG
rnacentral:rRNA from 1 species